rnacentral:rRNA from 1 species
AUUGAACGCUGGCGGCAUGCCUUACACAUGCAAGUCGAACGAUAACAGGUCUUCGGAUGCUGACGGGUGGCGAACGGGUGAGUAAUACAUCGGAACGUGCCUAGUAGUGGGGGAUAACUACUCGAAAGAGUGGCUAAUACCGCAUGAGAUCUACGGAUGAAAGCAGGGGAUCGCAAGACCUUGUGCUACUAGAGCGGCCGAUGGCAGAUUAGGUAGUUGGUGGGAUAAAAGCUUACCAAGCCGACGAUCUGUAGCUGGUCUGAGAGGACGAUCGGCGACACUGGGACUGAGACACGGCCCAGACUCCUACGGGAGGCAGCCGUGGGGAAUUUUGGACAAUGGGCGCAAGCCUGAUCCAGCAAUGCCGCGUGCAGGAUGAAGGCCUUCGGGUUGUAAACUGCUUUUGUACGGAACGAAAAGCCCUGGGUUAAUACCUCGGGAGGAUGACGGUACCUGAAGAAUAAGCACCGGCUAACUACGUGCCAGCCGCCGCCGUAAAAC